rnacentral:lncRNA from 10 species
GAGAUUUUAUAGCUUGUCACGGUUUCUACUAUAUUAAGAAUCAAGUCUAACAAAAUCAGAAUAGAUGCUAAGCCUGGAAACCCACAGGAAACAUGUUAUUCUUCAGUAUUUGCAAAGCACUGAUAAAAACAUCUCUCUUCUCUCAAUCUUGCUUCCUUCUUUUCAUUUACUAAAUAGGCUUUUGAGCCUCACAAGACUUUGAGAUUUUAUGGAUAUGAAACCUGCUAUCAUUUAGCAUCCUGCCUCUGGGAAUAGACAUGGAUUCUCACUAUGACACCCAGGCUGGAGUGCAGUGGCACAAUCAUAGCUGACUACAGCCUCGAAUUUCUGGGCUCAAGCAAGGCUUUCAUCUCAACCUCCCCAGGAGCUGGGAUUACAGAUGGUGUCAGAAGCGGGGUUCAAAGUAGAGCUUUAAUGACCCCCAGAAGUGCUGAGUGAACAAGCAAGGUACCUGCAAGGACCCACUUGUGUCCUUUGAUCUCUCAGAGCAGUGGAAUUUUCAGCCUGCCAGCCUGCCCUACAGAAUUCAGACUUGUCAGCCUCCACAAUCAGUUCUAGAGGCUGAUAAGUCCAAGCAUAUGGUGCCAGCAUCUGGUGAGGCCUUCUUGCUGUGUAAUCUCAUGGCAGAAGAGUGGAAGGACAAGUGAGCACAUGCAAAAGGGAUUGUACAAGAGUGAAGGCAGUUUUCCUACAGAAACCUUCAAAAAAGGAGAUGCAUCCUUCCUUGUUCCUGGCAGUCUUGCAUUUGAGGAAAUCAGUAUGCUCCAACUUAGACUUAUCUUUUAGUCUCCAGAGGCAGAAAAAAAGCAGAAAAGGUUGUUGAAAUUCUUCACAUUGAUUUCAGGGCAAUGAUCUCAAACGGCGCAGUGGGAACCCGCAAAUUUAAGAGGGUAGUUUCCCUGCACAAGCCCUUUUUUUGCCUGCUGCCAUCCGUGUAAGAUGUGACUUGCUCCUCCUUGUCUUCUACCAUGAUUGUGAGGCCUCCCCAGUUAUGUGGAACUCAAAGCUAGAGGAAACCAAAGUCAUAGAACAUCUGAACUCUGUCCAAACAUCGGUCGUAUUUCAAAAUUUCAGAGCCUCAGACUUCCAUGAUAAUAUCUGCCUAGUCUUUAGAAGAGUGUAUGGAAGUGUUCAAGAACCUUUCCUGAAACAACUUCUAUUACAGACACUGCUUCUUCAUGGUUAUUCCAUCAGAUUGCAAUCACUUAUAUGUUUUUUUCCACUCUUCCUUAUAUUAUGAGCACUUUUCACGUAGGGGUUCAUCUCUUUAAUAAUCAUAGCUCCCAACACAAUUGUAGGCUUAUAUUAGAUGCUCGAUAAAGAUGAGUUGAGUUAACAUGUAAAGUAAUGAAUGAGUAAGGAAAAAUAGAAUAGUUUCGAAUUAAUGCAUGUUACUGCUACUGUAAAUUUAAUGUUUUCAUUUCUAUUACUAUUUAUAUAUAAAUUUAAUUAAUUGUUAACUUUCUUUGCCAUCCAUACAUCUAUUUAUCUGCUCAUUUGAAAAUCUCUUUCCUGUUUCCUAUUAUUCAAAAUAUUAAAAGCAAAUAUUACUUAAAUAUUUAAAUCACUCUUUUUCCAUGUUAAGUUUCUCAGGAUGCAGAAUGUUGCUGUACACUGAGAAAUAUUAGGCGAUACAAAAUGGCUACUAUAACGUAAUGUUCUAGAAAAUGAUAAAAGUCAAACCCAUUGGUUUUUGCUGCCAACACAAGUUUGUCAAUGUAAUUAAUGCCCUUUAGCCUGGGAGGGUUGUAUGACAGGAAAAAUGGCAUCAAAGCCAUUUUUAUUUAAAAAAUAAAUUUAAUAUUACUUGAUAAUAAGGGAGCUAUAUAAGCAAAAAUCUUAGAAUUUUCUUUUUCUUUUUUUUCCUUAGUUUCACAUCUUUCUACAUAGUAUCCAAAUCCCAGUUGUUGAUACUAAUUUUCUUGCCUUCUUACCCUUAACAAGUUUGGAGACAAAGUUAAUAUCAUUAGUAGUAUGUAAACUAAUUCCUAAAGCAAAAGUCUCUAAAAGUGUGAUCCAUGUCCCAUUUUUUAUUGGUCUGCAAUGAGGUAAGCACAGAAAUUUUAAUCACCUCCACGCAUACCUUCAAUGAGCAACAUGUACAGUUUUUUGAGACUCUUCUCUCUUUUCCUGUUAUUUUCUGAUUGCAUUUAUAAAAAUGCAAUUUUGUGUUUGUUGAAUCUGAUGAUAAAAAAUGAGGAAACACCGCAUAUUCUCACUCAUAGGUGGGAAUUGAACAAUGAGAUCACAUGGACA